AUUGAACGCUGGCGGCAGGCCUAACACAUGCAAGUCGAGCGGAUGAAGGGAGCUUGCUCCUGGAUUCAGCGGCGGACGGGUGAGUAAUGCCUAGGAAUCUGCCUGGUAGUGGGGGAUAACGUCCGGAAACGGGCGCUAAUACCGCAUACGUCCUGAGGGAGAAGGUGGGGGAUCUUCGGACCUCACGCUAUCAGAUGAGCCUAGGUCGGAUUAGCUAGUUGGUGGGGUAAAGGCCUACCAAGGCGACGAUCCGUAACUGGUCUGAGAGGAUGAUCAGUCACACUGGAACUGAGACACGGUCCAGACUCCUACGGGAGGCAGCAGUGGGGAAUAUUGGACAAUGGGCGAAAGCCUGAUCCAGCCAUGCCGCGUGUGUGAAGAAGGUCUUCGGAUUGUAUAGCACUUUAAGUUGGGAGGAAGGGCAGUAAGUUAAUACCUUGCUGUUCUGACGUUACCAACAGAAUAAGCACCGGCUAACUUCGUG
rnacentral:rRNA from 1 species